rnacentral:rRNA from 1 species
ACGAACGCUGGCGGCGUGCUUAACACAUGCAAGUCGAACGGAAAGGCCCUGCUUUUGUGGGGUGCUCGAGUGGCGAACGGGUGAGUAACACGUGAGUAACCUGCCCUUGACCUUGGGAUAACUUCAGGAAACUGGGGCUAAUAUCGGAUAGGAGCUCCUGCUGCAUGGUGGGGGUUGGAAAGUUUCGGCGGUUGGGGAUGGACUCGCGGCUUAUCAGCUUGUUGGUGGGGUAGUGGCUUACCAAGGCUUUGACGGGUAGCCGGCCUGAGAGGGUGACCGGCCACAUUGGGACUGAGAUACGGCCCAGCCUCCUACGGGAGGCAGCAGUGGGGAAUAUUGCACAAUGGGCGGAAGCCUGAUGCAGCAACGCCGCGUGCGGGAUGACGGCCUUCGGGUUGUAAACCGCUUUCGCCUGUGACGAAGCGUGAGUGACGGUAAUGGGUAAAGAAGCACCGGCUAACUACGUG